rnacentral:sRNA from 1 species
AUGUCAUCCCGUGAGGUGACAAAGACGCAGUAUACGAAAUUCUUUAAGAAUGGAAUAGUUUUUUUAAAGAAGUCUUACUCAGAGAGCCUAUUGCUGUA